rnacentral:lncRNA from 1 species
AUGGAAAGACAGGAAAGGCAUAAGCAAAAACCCACAUCUCCCCGGCCCGUCGGACGCUGGGUUCUCUCAGCCCCUGUGUCCUCAGCUGUCAGUGCCCAGAGGUUCGUGAGACAGAGCCCAGGCACUGGCCAUCUUGGAGAAGUCACUCCUGGUACCCCAAGCCAGGCUGCUACGGCAGGGAACAGGGGAGGGCAGUGUUCAAAGCCACAAAAUUUCCCUAUAUGGGUCCCCAACACUCCUCUUCCCGGAACCCAUCGCUGUGAACCACAGACCACCACCCUCCUCCCCAGGUCCUGGGCUCUUUGCUCUCACACAAAUCUGCCACUUGAGGCACCACCAGCUCCCAAAGCCAGAGCCACGUCCAUUCAGCCGGGCAGAAGGAAGCCCAGUGCCUCCCAGACCCCAAGUCCCUCCCGAAGCUGGAUCCUCCAGCCUGAGACCCAGAGUCUGAAACAGGCCAAGGCCCAGCCCCAAGGACCGCUUUGCCCACUGCUUUGCCCAAACCCUCUUCCUGGCCACCUCCCAUCCAUCCUGUCCUCAGAGGCCCUCUGCCCCUGCCCUCUUUGGCAAAAGGAGGCUCCUGAGGAUUUAAAAUGACUUCAGAAAGUUCACCGGCUGAAGGCACAAGGCGCUGCCCAGGCAGGGCACUUCAGUGCCAGCACCACCCACCACGCUGGGAGGUGGGCCUCGACUCCACGCCUGUCCAUUGGUAGGGGAGCCUCCCCAGGGCAGGUAUCUGGAGGUCCAGGAACCCUCCCCUCCCUUCCCUAGCCCGGAGUCUCCCUAAAUACGUUAAGCUCCCGCCUCCACCAACCCCCAGCAGAGUCCUCCAAGUCGCAGGGGGAGUUCAGCACGCGAAGGCGAUGGCAAGAGUCCACCGCCUGCUUCCACCUCUAGCUCUUCGGUCAGGCCCCAGAGCCUGUUCUGAAUAAAGUCUGCACUCCCCCCUCCCCGCCCACCCCGCAGCAGGCCUUGACACCAGCCCUUUCAUUCCCAAGGUCUGGGGUGAGGGGAGCAGGACUCCUGCAGACCCAAGGCGACCCUCCCUGCGCCCAGGCUGCCUGCCUUUCCCCUAAAGCACAAUCACCCUCUACCUCAAACUCCGAGGCUCACCCACAGCCCCGCUGCCAAAACCUCAGGCCGGCCCCUCCCCCAGCACACGCCUCUCCCCCUCUUCCCAGCGAGCCGGGAACUCGCUCCGG